rnacentral:rRNA from 1 species
CAGUCGCCGCGGGAAAACGAAGGGUGCAAGCGUUACUCGGAAUUACUGGGCGUAAAGCGUGCGUAGGUGGUGGUUUAAGUCCGUUGUGAAAGCCCUGGGCUCAACCUGGGAAUUGCAGUGGAUACUGGAUCACUAGAGUGUGGUAGAGGAUAGUGGAAUUUCCGGUGUAGCAGUGAAAUGCGUAGAGAUCGGAAGGAACAUCUGUGGCGAAGGCGACUAUCUGGGCCAACACUGACACUGAGGCACGAAAGCGUGGGGAGCAAACAGGAUUAGAUACCCCGGUAGUCCCUGUCUCUUAUAC